UUCUACGACCGAAGAGGCACAGGAUGUAAGGCCCACAGCUUUGUGCAUAGGGAUUGGUGAGGAAGGGACGAUUUCAACUCAGAACCCUAACGACCAGUUCCGGGAACACAUGCCUUCUAGCCCAACAAAGCUACUGACCAAAUCAUCCAAGGAGAUAAUCACAUCUCAGCCAACGGACUGAACUCAGACGAUCAGAACACAAGACCUGCCAUGAGGCAGCCGCACGAGACAAGAGACCGUGCUCAAAAUCACGUAAUACCCUAAGUCGUCCCAAGGGAGCCCACAACUACCCUCAGCGGCGGGGAGAACUGACGCGUAUUUUGCAGAUGACAACGCAGUGGUUCAGAUGCGGCGGGUCCCAAGGCCACACAGCUGGGAAGGUAACUGAACCUAGUCUUAACUAGUAUUCCAAGUGGUGGAUACUUUCCAUUCUGCCUGGGCGAUAGCCCUUCGCCCGCGUAUUACACUCCGAGGCUGGCAAAACAGCAGAAAGAGAGCAAAGCUGGGCAGGGACGGGAAAGAGGGCAGGGAAUUUCUACUGCUUCCCGGCACUCCCCCCUACUCCACACCCCAGGUCGCUACUACGCGGCGGCCUCUACUUCCCCAAACUAGACUCCAGGGCGGGCGGGGGACCGAGGAGGCGUUCUCGCUGUCACGGAGAGUUCUCCAAGUUGGGGGCAGAAAAGGCGGCGAAUGAACAAAUGUACCCCCUAGGGUAAGGGCACAAGGAGAAGUGCGGAGGUAACCGUCUGAGUGCGUUCACCGCGCCUCUUCCAUCUACAGCGCCUGCCCAGCCGCCUCUCCUUCUCCCGGAGUCCCAUCCUCCCUUCCCCCACGCUCUCCCAUCCCAUCUCCCUGCAGCGCGGGUCCCGAGCUGCUCCGGAUCCCCAGCGCCGAGCUCUGGCCUUUCCAGACAACUCCAUCCCUUUGGAACCUGGUAUGGUAGCGAGGAGGUUAGGAGAAGGGACACUGAGGAAGAUAAAGAAGAAGCCAGUGGACUGGAGAGAAGGUGCGAACCGAAGGGGCAUGCGAGAGAGGAGCUGCGGGAAACCAGGCAAAGCCCUUAGGCUAUAGGGGGAUUCCCAGAAAGAAAAUCCGUUUCGCCAUUGAGAAACCACCGAUGCUCGCUGUCGAUCAAUUGGAAAGUCUGUACAGCCUCCCAACAGAAUUCCUAGCGAGCAGUGGGGAGACUGGUCAGGGCCUAGAGCAUGCAUCCACGAGCUCCACUUCCCAACCCAAAUUCCAAGGCAGCAGAUGACCCUAAGCUCUCCGCCGGUGUUGAGAAAUUCAUUCUGGAAACUGAUUCUGACAAGGUGCGAGAAAACACGGAGCUGAGUCUGUUUAGGGAUCCCCGGGCUGUUCUUCGUCUUUAGGCAUCUCCUAAGUCACAUGUCACAUCUCUUCCUCCUGGUCUGGGUUACUAAGGAAAGCAAGCACCUGAGACCCUCCCUCAAAUACGACUUUGUGUGUGUGUGUGUGUGUGUGUGUGGUGUGAGAGAGAGAGAAGAAAAUGUGCAGAGGCAGGAGUCCUGGGCUAUGGCAUUUUGUGGUUUCUCCCUUUCUCUCUCUUUUUUUUUUUUUUAAGUUCAAUACAGUACAUUUUUGUGCCAAGAUGAUUUUAGUGGGUUAGUGGGUGACUAUAUUUUUGCCUUAAAAAAUGUGUGAGAGUAGUUGGGACAGCACUUCUAAAUGUAACCUGAUGGUGAGCUCUCACGCCUUCAAGGUCCCUGUUGGCACAGCCGAUUUUAGCUGUACUGUCAGACACCGAGUAGUGCGCCUUGCCUCAGAGCCUCAGAGUAACAGCCUCAAGGCAUUGCAUUCUGUGUGCAGGCCAGCUUGAGCAGUGGAGCCAAAUACCUCCCCUUAGAGGUGAGGAGAAGCCACCCUUUUCACUGUCCUCAGGGCUCCACCCCACCUGAAGUUGUCUCUGCAUUAUGUGUCAUUACAAGACUAGUCCUUAGUGUCCCAGUUUUACUUACAAAAACACUACAUCCAAUUUAAUUAUAAUACCUCUUACUCCCCUUCUUAUUUCCUCUAAUGCUCAAAAGGCUAGGUCACUGAAAGUUCAAGAGGCUAGAAGGGGCCUGCCUGAACCAAAUUUCUCUUUUUCUUCUCAUUAAAAGAAAAAUAGUCCUCGAAAGAACCUUAUUAAACUUAUAUCCUUUCUGAAUAUGGUAAUCUCUCUGUAUCGAUUAUUUUAAUUUUAUAUUAAUGAUAUGAUCUUACUGCAAAAGGUGACCAGUCACCUGAUGGGGAUAAAGGGUCUAGUUUCUUCCUGGAGAAAUUCUGGCAGCUAAAAAGAAUGGAAGGGUUUAUUUACAGGCAGCAGAAUUGGUCUCAGGCAGUGUUACCAAGUAGAUGGAGACGGACAUUCCUCUGUAAACCUCCCUCUUUUUUUCAAUUUUCUUUCAUGGCAGCCAUGUCCACCUAAUACUGCCAGUUCUCCAAGCCAAUUUACCUCACACAAAAGUGUUAGGGACUUCAGAUGUUAUUUCCUGCUAGUGUUUGUCUUGAAAAAGAGCGACAUUUCAAGCAGAAGUGAGAGAGUAAAGGAGGAUUCAUGGAAAAUAUUUCCUGUACCCUUUAUUUUUUGACCUUUCUUUUCGUCAUUUUAUAUAAAGAUGGGUCUGAUAGACAGAACAUACUCUAAACAACUUGGCAACAGUUCAGGCCUAUAGGCUUCUUUGAAAAUUAAAAAAAAAAAAAGUGCACCCUUCCUCAUUUCACAGCACUUCACACAUGAUCUAAGAGCACAGAGGGUUACAUUCAAGUAGCAGAAUAAGCUUCAAAAUGGUUAUA